UUAAGAUUAAAUGAAAUAGACUGACGGAUUUAUUCAGUAGACUAAUUGGCAUAAUAAUAUUAAUAAAUAAUAUUAAUGUGUAAUAUGUGCAAUAUAUAUUUGGUUUAUAAAUUUAUUAUGUUUAAAUAUUAUUGAGAUAAUAAUAUUACCGAUGAAACAACUAGACUCAAAACGGAUUUAGAACAGUAUUUUUAUGAGACUGCUUGUAUUAAAAGACCCGGUUUUUAAAACACAAUCUGCUAAAAUCGUUAGCCGCCUCCUACGUCAUUCUUACGUUUUAUUCCAUUUAAACCUAUUUAAAUCAUUUCAGCAGUCGCACGUUGUUCCGAUUCCUCCACUCAGUUUAUUAAAAACACAGCCUGCCUCCACUUUGGUUCUAAUAUAUUUUCUUCAGCACGAUCGUCCUUCUCGGUGCUUAAACAAUGCAAUGCUAGCCUGUCUUCACUCAGACAGCUACAAAGCAGUUCAUCUCUGCUGCUGUAAUAAUGGCACCCUUCUCCCUCUUUCUUUAUUCCUUCUUUCUCCUUCUUUUAAGACCGAGACACAGCAUUGAGAUUGAGAGUAGGAGAGUGAGUUGAGAGAAAGAGAUGAGAUGAGAUGAGAUGAGAUGAGAAAUAGAAGCAAGCAAGAGAUUAAGAGUAAGUAGAGAAUUGAGAGAGAAGCAGAAUUUGAGAGAGAAAGAAGGAGUGAAAUGAAGAGAGAAACAGAGGCAGAGAGGGAGAUCCGGCCGAUCCUUCAGUAGAGUCCCGGCCGAUUGUAGCAGACCGAGAGAGAGAAGAUGAGAGACCCGAAGCCGUGAACCCCAAGCAAACCCGAAGAUCCGGCGUGAGCCCAGCCAAAACCCACAACUCAGCACCGAUGGCUGGCGGACGGCGUCACCCAGCAGAGCCCAUCCCAUCCCGGCGUGACCCAGGACCCGAUCGUGGAGCCGUGAACCACGACCCGUCCAACCCAGCCGUGAAACCAUGAACCCAACGAACCCGUGCGUGAUCCAGCCAUGAUCCAUGACCCAGCCGUGAAGACCAUCGAUCCAGAAGCCCAUUCCAGCUGCGAUUCAGACCAGACCCGUGAACCUCGGCCCAACCCAGACGAUCCAGCUGAACCCGUGAACCCCGGCCCAACCCGUGACCCGUGAGCCCAGUCCAGCAAGCAGUAGCUGAGCCCAGUCCAGCCCAUCCCAGCAAGCAAGCCCAACCCAGUCGGCCCACGAACCAAUUUCAGCCCAGACCCGCUGAGCCUGACCCAGCAGUGAUCCAACCAUGACCUGAACCCGGAGACCCGACCCGCCGGUGACCCGUCUCCGGCAGAGUCUUCUGGCAACUUUUCCGGUAACCUUUCCGGCGACUUCCCGUGACCAAACUCACCGUUUUCACUAGAUUUUCUAGUAAAAUCCUUAAUGUGAGUUUCUGGGUUUUUAAUUAACUUAAUGGUAUAUACUUACAUGAAAUCAAUUAAUAAGUAUUUUAGAUUAUAACUUUGAUAAAUAUAGAAUUGAAUAUUUUGAUAAAUAACUUAUUAAUGUAUAUUAUAUUUAUUGAGUGUUUAAAUCAUAUGUAGAAUAAUAUGGAAAAUGAAUAAUCGGUGCUAUUAAAAAUAUUAGAGGAUGGUUUAAGUGUUAAAACUAAGAAUAAUAAUAACAUUAGGCAAAGAGGUUUUAUAAAUAGAAUUAGGAUUUGUGCUAAAUGAUGUUAACACUUUGUGUGGAUAUACCUAUAAUUUUUCAGAUGAUGACUUGAGAGACUGCAUGAAUUGGCUGUUAAUAGACAAAGACCAGAACUCAAGAGGUUUUAUAGCUAAGGACGCAUAGUUUAUAUUUUGUUUGUAGUCUUCUGUGUUUAUAGCAUUUUAUAUUGACAAAAUUGCUAAUGAUUUAUAUGUAUUCUUUUGUGUCAUUAUGGACACCUGUUUCCUUGUAUUUGUUAUAAGAAUUUUCUAAUGAAUAUCUAGAGGUAUUUAAUUUAAAA